CCUACGGGUGGCAGCAGUGGGGAAUAUUGGACAAUGGGCGCAAGCCUGACCCAGCAACGCCGCGUGAGGGAAGAAGGCUUUCGGGUUGUAAACUUCUUUUCUGAGGGACGAAAAAGGUGGCGGUACCUCAGGAAUAAGCCACGGCUAACUACGUGCCAGCAGCUGCGGUAAUACGUAGGUGGCAAGCGUUAUCCGGAUUUAUUGGGUGUAAAGGGCGUGUAGGCGGGAAAGCAAGUCAGAGGUGAAAACUCAGGGCUCAACCCUGAGCCUGCAUUUGAAACUGUUUUUCUUGAGUGCUGGAGAGGCAAUCGGAAUUCCGGGUGUAGCGGUGAAAUGCGUAGAUAUAAGGAGGAACACCAGUGGCGAAGGCGGAUUGCUGGACAGUAACUGACGCUGAGGCGCGAAAGCGUGGGGAGCAAACAGGAUUAGAUACCCUGGUAGUC
rnacentral:rRNA from 1 species